rnacentral:rRNA from 1 species
CCGGACCGGCGCACGGGUGAGUAACACGUAUGGAACCUGCCCGCAGCAGGGGGAUAAGCGGAAGAAAUUCCGUCUAAUACCGCGUAACACCGCAGAGGGGCAUCCCUCGGCGGUUAAAGAUUCAUCGGCUGCGGAUGGCCAUGCGGCGCAUUAGCUAGUCGGCGGGGUAACGGCCCACCGAGGCGACGAUGCGUAGGGGUUCUGAGAGGAAGGUCCCCCACACUGGUACUGAGACACGGACCAGACUCCUACGGGAGGCAGCAG